ACAAGUUAUAGCAUAUACAAUGCUUUUUAUUUACACUAAAAAGAAAAUAGAUUUAUUUAACUUGU
rnacentral:tRNA from 1 species